UACGAAGGGGGCUAGCGUUGCUCGGAAUCACUGGGCGUAAAGGGUGCGUAGGCGGGUUUUUAAGUCAGGGGUGAAAUCCUGGAGCUCAACUCCAGAACUGCCUUUGAUACUGAAGAUCUUUGAGUCCGGGAGAGGUGAGUGGAACUGCGAGUGUAGAGGUGAAAUUCGUAGAUAUUCGCAAGAACACCAGUGGCGAAGGCGGCUCACUGCCCGAUACUGACGCUGAGGUGCGAAAGCGUGGGGAGCAAACAGG
rnacentral:rRNA from 1 species